ACGGAUUUAAUUUAUAUUUAUAUUAUAUUUAGUCUUUUGCCUCAAAUGUUUUUAUUUAGCGGCAAGAAACCUGAUUCGCUGUGAAGGCAACCAGUAGUGAGAACGCCCGCUAGCAACCUCAUCGCCAGCCACUGUAACCGCAGCUUCAUUACUGGCCAUUUGGAGGAGGAUUGUCCUUUAUCUGCUACACUGCACUGUCACUUCUGAGGCUCUUAAGAAGACUGCACUGAUGUCAAAGGUCAACCGGCAAGAAGCUGAGGGGGAACUCUCAAAAUUGGUACAAGAGACAGAGGAGGACUGAGGGUGUCUAGAAUGCACAAAUGUCUGUCUGCAGUGUAAGCAGUACUGAAAAAUGUAUAGUUGCUGCUGCUUCUAACUGUCCCCAGUUUUUUUUGUUUUUUUUUCUUGUGCAAAUGUUCAAAGCUUUCAGUAAACACUGGUUCAAAUACAGGUUCAAAAUGUGUGUUAACUUUAACAGUUACAUUAUUUUUAACAAUUAGGUAUCAGAAUAUAGCAUAAUAUGAUGGGUAGUUUCAAUAAAUUUGAAAUUUUAA